rnacentral:rRNA from 1 species
AUUGAACGCUGGCGGCAGGCCUAACACAUGCAAGUCGAGCGAGCGGCGGACGGGUGAGUAAUGUCUGGGAAACCGCCUGAUGGAGGGGGAUAACUCCUGGAAACGGUAGCUAAUACCGCAUCCCAUCAGAUGUGCCCAGAUCGGAUUAGCUGGUAGGUUGGGUAACGGCUAACCUAGGCGACGAUCCCUAGCUGGUCUUGGAGGAUGACCAGCCACAAUGGAGCUGAGACACGGUCCAGACUCUUACGGGAGGCAGAAGUGGGGAAUAUUGCACAAUGGGCGCAAGCCUGAUGCAGCCAUGACGCGUGUGUGAAGAAGGCCUUCGGGUUGUAAAGCACUUUCAGCGGGGAGGCGUUACCCGAAGAAGAAGCACCGGCUAACUCCGUGCCAGCAGCCGCGGUAAUAC